rnacentral:rRNA from 1 species
GAUGAACGCUGGCGGCGUGCCUAAUACAUGCAAGUCGAGCGAACGGACGAGGAGCUUGCUCCUCUGACGUUAGCGGCGGACGGGUGAGUAACACGUGGAUAACCUACCUAUAAGACUGGGAUAACUUCGGGAAACCGGAGCUAAUACCGGAUAAUAUAUUGAACCGCAUGGUUCAAUAGUGAAAGACGGUUUUGCUGUCACUUAUAGAUGGAUCCGCGCCGCAUUAGCUAGUUGGUAAGGUAACGGCUUACCAAGGCAACGAUGCGUAGCCGACCUGAGAGAGGGAGCGGCCACACUGGAACUGAACACCGGUCAGGACCCCAACGGGGGGAGGCGGGGGGAAUUCUCCCGCAAUGGGGAAAAGCCUGACGGAGCAACCCGGCGUGAGUGAUGAGGUUUUUGGGCUGGUAAGACUCUGUUAUUAGGGAGAAACAAAUGUGUAAGUAACUAGGCACGUCUUGACGGUACCUAAUCAGAAAGCCACGGCUAACUACGUG